rnacentral:pre_miRNA from 1 species
GAAGACUCCAUUUUUCAGUUUUGGAAUAACGUUUGACUCUUCGUCUUAUUUGAAAAAAAAAUAUGAUUACUAUUUUUUAUUGUUAUUAGAUAAUAAAACAUAAAUCAUACUUUAUGCAUGACUAAUUAUUUUUAAUUUCAUAAAAUUUAAAUAGGUCAAAUGGUCAAACGUUGAACACAUAAACCUAU